rnacentral:rRNA from 1 species
AUUGAACGCUGGCGGCAGGCCUAACACAUGCACGUCGAGCGGAGCGGCGGACGGGUGAGUAAUGCCUAGGAAUCUGCCAGGUCGUGGGGGAAAACUACCGGAAACGGGCACUAAUACCACAUACUAUCACCUGAGCCUAGGUCGGAUUAGCUAGUUGGUGGGGGAAAGGCCUACAAAGGCUACGAUCCGUAACUGGUCUGAGAGGAUGACCAGCCACACUGGAACUGAGCCACGGUCCAGACUCCUACGGUAGGCAGCAGUGGGGAAUAUUGCACAAUGGGCGCAAGCCUGAUGCAGCCAUGCCGCGUGUAUGAAGAAGGCCUUCGGGUUGUAAAGUACUUUCAGCGGGGAGGCGUUACCCGCAGAAGAAGCACCGGCUAACUCCGUGCCAGCAGCCGCGGUAAUAC